AGUCGACCGCGCGCCGUUUUCAACGGAAGAGCCUGCUUGCAGGCUAACCAUCCCAACCAUCUUGGAAACAAACAAAGCUUUUAGUGAGCCCUCAAAUUGCAAAACCAAUUACACAAGUAGGGGCUUUGAAUGGUUUUUGUUUGUCACGAAAAACAAUUCCACGGAGCUGUCGCAGGGGUUGACCUAAGGGGAAGCAAGUCAACAAGGUAGAUUGUCGUUACAUGCCGCUAGUAGUUCGGCAAACCGAGAAGGAUGAAAGCGGUUUUUUAUGACUACUACUCACGUUAAAAGGACCGUGCAUAUGACGGCCUCCUGAGAUGUGGCCCUUUUGUAAACCAAAGAGAACUGAGCAUUCAACCUGGAGAGGAGACCCAUUGCAAACUUUCAGUAACAGAAGCAACACUUAUCACCGUGAAUGAAACACAUGCUCAAGUGCGAUACACCUCACCCAGAGAUAUUGUUUAUGUCUAUUCGAGGCCGGAGCAGAUUUAAAGCAGACAUUUUCAAACCCUGUAUUGUAUACGACGCUCGGGGACGCUU